GCUGGGCAUGGUGGUGCAUGCCUGUAAUCCCAGCUACUCGGGAGGCUGAGGCAGGAGAAUUGCUUGAACCUGGGAGGCAGAAGUUGCAGUGAGCUGAGAUCUUGCCACUGCACUCCAGCCUGGGUGACAGAGCAAGACUCUGUCUCAA
ensembl:misc_RNA Metazoa_SRP Metazoan signal recognition particle RNA